GGGCCUGUAGCUCAGUGGUUAGAGCGCUACGCUUAUAACGUAGAUGUCGGCGGUUCAAUUCCACCCAGGCCUACUA
rnacentral:tRNA from 1 species